UAGAAAGAGGAGAAUUGGAAAAGACGAGAGUUGCGGAGGACGAUGGUGUGAUCGGAAACAGAGAGAGAUCAAGUUGAUUGGAACCAUAAGUGCAUCAUUUGAGAAGAGCGAGUAGGAUUUGAAUCUUUGAAGCUCUGGAUUUUGUUCUUUAUCUGUCGAUCAAUCAAGGUGUAGAUGGUUUCAAUAGAUCGGAAAGUGUUCGUAUGCAGUCUGGUGUUGCGCUCAUUCCAAACCCAAUAUAAGGUAGAUUGCCAAGUAAGGAGAGUAAGUAGUCUGGUCGCUUGUGGAGGAGGGAGAGAUGACAUCUGCAGAAUGGUAUGUGCCCACGAUCGAUGCGGUGCGAUAGGGAUCCUCGCGGCUGAGAGGCUCCAUAAUUGGAAACUGAAGUUGCAAUCAAAGAAGAGAUGGUCACGAGAUUCAGAGACGACGUUACAGAGGAGACAAGUUUGGUCAACUUGCAAUCCCCAUCUGAUCAGUCUGUCCCGUGUAGGAAGUCGAUCUUGUACCACGAGCCAGGAAUGGAGAUUGUGUCUUGGUAUACCUCUAGAAUUCCAGAUUGCUCUAUGCCAUUGAACGUCCAUUCGCUCUUCACAAAGGUGGUAAUUUCCACAGCCCAUUCCUAGACAGAGAAGAGACAGUUGCGUUGAGAGGGAUACCCAAACGGUUUGUUGAGGCGGAGAGAUAGUCAUAGAGUCUGCCGAACGGAGUCCAGUUGUCAAACCAAAACCGCGCUGCAUUUCCAUUUUGAAGCCGAAGCUUGAUCAAGGGAAAAAUAGUGUCUCUCAGCUUUAGCAAUUUUUUGGCGAGCCAUGAGUAUGAUUGCUUUGGUGUUGUUGUCCAGUAGUUAUGAAACGAGCCUUUGAGAAUAACUUCCUUGAACCACUUUACCCACACUGACUCCUCCCUGAAGAACAACAUCCAUACUAGUCGCAGACAGCACGCUUUAUUCCAGGAACAUACUGCAUAGGGAAUUUAUUCUUGCGAUACAGGCUUUGGGUAAAAUGAAAGCUGAACACCAAAAUGUUGUUAUUCCAGUUAUCACAGUCUUGAUAAGGAGAAGCCGACCUGCAAACGAUAGAGACUUGACAGACCAGGAGAAGAACUGGGCUUUAACCUGCUGGAUUAGGGGCUCACAGUUGGUGAGGGAGAGCUUCCUCGAGUUGAGAGGAACACCUAGGUAGCGGACAAGAAGGGAACCUAGAGUCAUACCCGUUGAGGCUUGAAUUGUCUCCACUUCUGGAACUGAUAGACCUGAGGAUUUGUAAGACUAGCUGGACAGAUUCAAUGGAGCCGUCAAUGAAUAUGAGAAGAGCAUCCGCAAAAGAGAGAUACACGCUUUAAUCCAGGAGAUCAGCUGCUGGGGUAGUUGGAGUCCAUGGAGGCAGGAGAACAAAAAUUCCCAAGAGAGGGUGUCAAAAGCUUUUGCAAUAUCCACUUUGAUGGUAAUUCUCUUAGCCCCAUUGUUCUUGUGAUAACCGUUGAUUAAUUCACUGGCAAGGGUGGUGUUUUCUACUAGUAAUCUGUCCUUCACAAAAGCUGUUUGACUUGGCAGAAUCAGUUUAGGCAAGAUAGGUUUCAGGCGCUUGACUAGCAAUCUCGAGACCACCUUGUAGACAGUGUUUAUGCUGGAGAUUGGUCUGAAGUCUGUUAUCUUUACCGCUCCUGGAAAUUUUGGUAUUAGUGACAAAAUAGUCGCAUUUGCUGUUGCAGGGAGGAAGCCGGAGAAGAAGAACUGUCGGAUAGAGAUAAUGACUUCAGCACCAAUAGUGUCCCAAGAAGCUUUGAAGAAACCAGAGGUAAGACCAUCAGGCCCAGGAGCCUUAUUUGGGUUAAGCUUGAAGAACAGUGCCUUUAUUUCGUCAGCUGUUGGGAUUGAGAUCAUUGGCUGUCUAUGUUCUUCGGGAAAGGUGAAAGCCGUGAGAUCCAUAAACCAGUACGGGCCAGUGGAGAUAAGUUGUGAGAUAAGAUGAAGUGGUCCCAGAACUGAUUGAAAAUGGUUAAUGGCCAGUGCACUCAUCUCCAGUGGGUCAGUGACGGAGGUACCUGACUGAGACAAGAAGGCUCGGAUGCAGUUAUAGCUCGCUCUAACUUGACAGAUCCUUGAUAUCUCAUGUUUUUUAUGAGUUUUAGGUUCAUAUUUUAGCUUAUUAUGAUCAUUUUAGGUUGCAUUUAGGUCUUUGUGUUGUAAUUGCAUACUCAUUUGCAUAUCAGAGGGGUUGGAAUGCUUAUUUGGAAGUUUGGGGCGAAAUUCAAGGGCUAAGCUGCACACUAUGGAAGUCUGGGGUCAAAUAUGAAGUUAUCCAAAGUUCAGGGACCAAGGUUGCAGUUUCAGCAUAUUCCCUUGGGUUAUAUUGCACAAUCAAAAGUCUAUGGGUCAAUUCGUGAGGUCAUUUCUGCACAUUCCAAAGUAUUGGGCCGAUUUGUAUAGAACCAGAAGUUCAGGGACCUGUUUUGCAAAUAAGGAAGAAUUGGCCAUUGUUGCUCUUCGAUGAGGUUUACUUCGAUCCGCGACGAUGACGGAGCUGAGCCGUGAGGAAAGCUGGUCGCUCUGGAGCCGGCAUCGCGAGUUGCAGACCAUGGCGGAGGAGAAGACGACGGCUUAGUGAUGGGUUCGUGGUGGUCCGAGCACGAUCUCGUCUUUGGAGAAGGAGCCUCGCCAGAACAGAGCACGACAAGACCAUGAGCCACCUCAGAGAGCCUUCACGGUCAUUGGAGUCGCGAUGUGAAGAAGUUAAGCUCGGGUCUUGAGACAAAGAAAAACGAAUCGGAGCUCAAGCUCGUGGAGGUUCGUAGCGGCUUGGCAAAGCGGGUUAAUGAGGUCGCCACAUCAUGAGCGAGUGCUGGAGCGGCCACUGGUAGCGGGGACGUGACGCCGCUCGGGAAGACGCUGAUUCGCUAGCGGCCACUGGUAGCGGGACGUGAUGGCCGCUACGAACAGAUUUGGAGAUGUUGACCGGUUUAUUCCGGUUUGACCCGGUUUAAUUCACUAAACCAGCUCGAGUUUGGCAUGUCUUAUAUAUAGUUUUAAACCUAAAAACCUAAGGGGAUCUCAUUUUUCUCUCAAGAACUUGCCUCCCAUUGUUAAAAAGCUUGAAUCUUUAUAUCAUAAUCUAAGGAAGUUCUUCAUAUUAUAUCUUGUUUUUCUUUCUCAUAAACAUGAUGAGCCUUGAAUCCAUCAUGGGUUUGAGGUUUCUCAUGGAGUUUAGAGAGUAGACUCUCCUUGGAUUCAUGGGUUAGGGAGAUUAGAGUAACUUAGUGAAGAUCUAUGGUGUUAUUGUAUUAGAUCCUUGUAUGAACUUGCUUGUUGAGUAUUUUUAAUGCUUGUUUAGUCUUGA